rnacentral:lncRNA from 1 species
CAUUUCCUCCCCUCCAAAUGGGGAGAAGGACCCUCUAUUCCUCAAGGUCUUGUGAGGAUUAAAUCAGCAUGGCACAUAAAGCACAUAGCAGGUGCCUCACAUCUGCAGACACCAGAGGCCCAAUCCACAUCACAGUGGCUCUCACGGGACUGGGGUCCCCCAGGCCUCAGCUACUGCUUCCUUAGGACAGUACUUCCUUCUCAGCCAAAGAAUUAACAUAAAAUUAAUAUCCUAACAUGAACAGCGACUAAGAACCAGAGCACACAUGAUCAAAUUACCAGCAUUGCCACUAACUGGCUGUACCACCUAGAAUUAGUGACUUAUCCUCUCUAUGCCUCAGUUUCCUUGUGGAUAACACCGGCUAGCAUCACUACUGAGUCAUCAUGCUUCAGGCACUCAGAACAGCACUUGACACAGGGUUAGCCGCACAGUCAACAUUGCCAGUCAGCCUCAGUGCUGUCUUUUUAGAUAGCACUCUGUCUCCAUAGAGGGGGUGUAAAGGCAGGCAUGGGAGAGAUUGUGGAUGAGGGGACUGGGCUGGGGAUCCCUAACCUUGUUCACACCCAUAGUGCUUACAACAUUACAGCUUGAUCCAUUUCUGAGUGAAUUUGCACAGCAGUUUCAAGCCUGACCCUGGG